rnacentral:pre_miRNA from 1 species
CCUGAUCCACAGGCUGGCCCGUAGGUUGGGUUGGGAAAAUAUCUCUUUGAAAGACUCACUCUCAAGCACAACUAGGAGC